rnacentral:rRNA from 1 species
UACGUAGGGGGCAAGCGUUGUCCGGAAUCAUUGGGCGUAAAGAGCGCGUAGGCGGCCCGAUAAGUCCGCUGUGAAAGUCGGGGGCUCAACCCUCGGAUGCCGGUGGAUACUGUCGGGCUCGAGUCCGGAAGAGGAGUGUGGAAUUCCUGGUGUAGCGGUGAAAUGCGCAGAUAUCAGGAGGAACACCAAUGGCGAAGGCAGCACUCUGGGACGUGACUGACGCUGAGACGCGAAAGCGUGGGGAGCAAACAGG